rnacentral:tRNA from 1 species
GAGGGUAUAGCUCAGCGGUAGAGUGCAUGCUUAGCAUGCAUGAGGUCCUGGGUUCAAUCCCCAGUACCUCCA